rnacentral:lncRNA from 1 species
GGAGGGCUGGAGCCAGCAGGAAGCUGCGGCUGGAGCUGCUGCAUCCCCCGGGAAGCGCGGCCGGGGGCAGAGGUCCGGCCGCCCCUGGAAUACGGAUCCAGCUGGUGGAGCACAGGUUGCUCCGUGCGCUGAAUUUUGAUGGAGCUUUCGGAGCAGAAUUCCCUGGAUCAACACGUCCCCGGGAGGCCAUAAAUAAAAUAUCAUGGAAAGAAGGCCGGCAGAAUUCCAGGUGGGCCGGGAGGCGCUGGAUUGCCACGAAAACCGGAGCGGUUUUCCGAGGAUUCUGGGUUUAGGAAGGAUCCCCCCACUUCAGUUUGGGUCCGGCGUGGAUUUGGGAUUUGAGACUUUCGGGAAGGAAAUCCCUGUCCUCUUCCCCCUCCUCCCCAGCAGGGAUUUGGGAUUUCGGAUUUAGGGAAGGAAAUCCUUGCCUGCUUCCCAAUCCCCGCCGUUUCCCGGGGAUAUUUCCCUGCUUUGAAGGCCCCCACCCCGCCCCGGGAAUGCGUUUCUGUGGGAUUUUGGGAUGGAUUCAAGCACAGCCGCCGGGAACUUGUGGGAUUCGCGGAUCCCGCAUCCCUGGCGCUGCCGGGGGGGAGGAAAAUUAAUCCCGGCCAUCUGGCCUGGCCACCAGCCUCCUCCUCCUCCUGCUGCUCCUGCUUUUCCUCCUCCUCCACAUCCCUGAGGAGCCGCCCCCACAUCCCCUGCCUCAGUUUCCCCACCUGUAGGCCGUGCUUUGUUCCCGAGGCUGGGGGGAGAAAUAUUGGGAAAGGCCGGGAAAAAGAGGAGGAAGAGGAGGGGGAGGAGGAGGAGGAGGGGGAAGCGUGGCCGCUUCCAGAGGUUAAUGGCUUUCCCUGGGCUCGGGAUAAUGGGAUUCCAGGAUCCCGCGUGUCCUCUCGCCUGUCGCUUCCCAUCAGAUCCGCGCUUGGCUUCACCUCCAGCAGGACAUUCCCGCUCCCCGCGUUUGUUUUUUUUUGGGAUCCCAGGGGUUUAACCCUUCCCUGGGAUCACAGAGACCUGGAAUUCCUGGCCAGGACUCGGAGAUUCCGCAGGGAUCCACCGGCUCUCCCCGGGUGUUCCCAUGGUGCCAAAAAACUCCCGCUUUUCCAGCAAAAACCGUGGAUUUGGAGGUGCUGGGCAGAAAGCAAACCCACGUGGAUGUGGAAAGCCUCAUCCCACCCUCCCUCCCUGCACCAAAC